GACGAACGCUGGCGGCGUGCUUAACACAUGCAAGUCGAACGGAAAGGCCCUGCUUUUGUGGGGUGCUCGAGUGGCGAACGGGUGAGUAACACGUGAGUAACCUGCCCUUGACUUUGGGAUAACUUCAGGAAACUGGGGCUAAUACCGGAUAGGAGCUCCUGCUGCAUGGUGGGGGUUGGAAAGUUUCGGCGGUUGGGGAUGGACUCGCGGCUUAUCAGCUUGUUGGUGGGGUAGUGGCUUACCAAGGCUUUGACGGGUAGCCGGCCUGAGAGGGUGAACGGCGACAUUGGGACUGAGAUACGGACCAGAAUCCUACGGGAGGCAGCAGUGGGGAAUAUUGCACAAUGGGCGGAAGCCUGAUGCAGCAACGCCGCGUGCGGGAUGACGGCCUUCGGGUUGUAAACCGCUUUCGCCUGUGACGAAGCGUGAGUGACGGUAAUGGGUAAAGAAGCACCGGCUAACUACGUG
rnacentral:rRNA from 1 species